AACAAUUGUUUAUAUCAUAGAAUUUUGAAACAUAAAUAAAUAUAAAUCUGACAUAUAGUUUCUAUCCAUAUUAAUUUUCAUAAUUUCGUUAUUUUCAAGAUUAUUCUUUUUAAAACGAUAUAAUUAGAAGAAUUAUAAUAAUGCAGAAAUAUUUAAAUUCAUAAUAAUAUUUGUAUUUAAAUAUAUUGAUACAAACAUUCGUAAUAAUAAUAAUAAUAAUCUAUUUUAAAUAUAUUUCGUUCCAUAAUAAGAUUAAUUCUUUAUAUUAUUAAUUAAGAAUAAUAUUACUUAAUUAUAUUAGGUAGAAAUUGACAAUGUGUAAAUAUUGGACAAUGUAGAAUUUAUAAUGGUCUAAUCUCGUAGUUUGUGUUGUAAAAACAAAUACUAUGAUGCAAUGAGUAAAGAAUCUGAAUCUAUUUUGUGUUUUCUUGUGGUGAAGUGGUGAAAGAAGUUUUGACUCUAGUGUUGUUAAAUGUCGUGUAAGUUUUUACUAAAAUCAUAAAAUUAAAAAUUAAAUAUCUCUCUCUCUCUCUCUAUAUAUAUAUAUAUAUAUUAUUGGAAUAAGACAAAUAUUAACGUCAAUGACUUUUAUAAUUUUUUAAUAAUAAAUACAUCAAUAUUUUUUUUCUUUUUAUUAUUAAGAAAAAAAAUCAUCCGAUAUGCCUCCAAUGUCACAGCACAUUGUGAAUGUGCACAAGCAACUUUAACAUGUUAUGGAGAAGCACGAGCGUUAACUUUAAGGCUAUUCUGUUCUAUCAUCUUAUAAACGUAAGAAAUAAAGAAAGAAAAGAAGCAAGAAAUUUAGUUACUAGAUAUAGGAACUUUUGGUUCUUCGGUACAAUACGUAUCUAAAAUAUAAUGGCAGUA